rnacentral:rRNA from 1 species
CCUACGGGUGGCAGCAGUGAGGAAUAUUGGUCAAUGGGCGGGAGCCUGAACCAGCCAAGCCGCGUGAGGGAAGAAGGUACAGCGUAUUGUAAACCUCUUUUGUCAGGGAACAAAGGCGGGGACUAGUCCCCGGAUGAGGGUACCUGAAGAAAAAGCAUCGGCUAACUCCGUGCCAGCAGCCGCGGUAAUACGGAGGAUGCGAGCGUUAUCCGGAUUUAUUGGGUUUAAAGGGUGCGCAGGCGGCCUGUUAAGUCAGCGGUAAAAGCCCGGGGCUCAACCCCGGCGAGCCGUUGAAACUGGCGGGCUUGAGUUGGCGAGAGGUACGCGGAAUGCGCGGUGUAGCGGUGAAAUGCUUAGAUAUCGCGCAGAACCCCGAUUGCGAAGGCAGCGUACCGGCUCCACACUGACGCUGAGGCACGAAAGCGUGGGUAUCGAACAGGAUUAGAUACCCGAGUAGUC